rnacentral:rRNA from 1 species
AGCGAACGCUGGCGGCGUGCUUAACACAUGCAAGUCGAACGGGCUCAGGGGGCAACUCUUGAGCUAGUGGCGAACGGGUGAGUAACACGUGGGUAAUCUUCCCCCGAGUGAGGAAUAAGCUUGCGAAAGCGGGUCUAAUACCGCAUGACGCUUCGGGACUCAAGUCUUCGAAGCCAAAGCCGUAAGGCGCUUGGGGAUGAGCCUGCGUCCUAUUAGCUAGUUGGUAGGGUAAUGGCCUACCAAGGCGAUGAUGGGUAGCCGGCCUGAGAGGGUGAACGGCCACACUGGAACUGAGACACGGUCCAGACUCCUACGGGAGGCUG